GUCUACUUGAAUUCUCUUCGGAGAUAGUAAGGUGGCGGACGGGUGAGUAACACGUAAAGAACUUGCCCUGCAGUCUGGGACAACUAUUGGAAACGAUAGCUAAUACCGGAUAUUAUGCGAGAGCCGCAUGGCUCUUUCAUGAAAGCUAUAUGCGCUGCAGGAGAGCUUUGCGUCCCAUUAGUUAGUUGGUGAGGUAACGGCUCACCAAGACCGCGAUGGGUAGCCGGCCUGAGAGGGUGAACGGCCACAAGGGGACUGAGACACGGCCCUUACUCCUACGGGAGGCAGCAGUGGGGAAUAUUGGACAAUGGACCAAAAGUCUGAUCCAGCAAUUCUGUGUGCACGAUGACGGUCUUAGGAUUGUAAAGUGCUUUCAAUCGGGAAAAAGAAAGUGAUGGUACCGAUAGAAGAAGCGACGGCUAAAUACGUGCCAGCAGCCGCGGUAAUACGUAUGUCGCAAGCGUUAUCCGGAUUUAUUGGGCGUAAAGCGCGUCUAGGCGGUCUGGUAAGUCUGAUGUGGAAAUGCGGGGCUCAACUCCGUAUUGCGUUGGAAACUGCC
rnacentral:rRNA from 1 species